UACGGAGGGUGCGAGCGUUGUCCGGAAUCACUGGGCGUAAAGGGCGCGUAGGCGGCGCGGAUAGUCGGCGGUGAAAGCCCGGAGCUCAACUCCGGGGUCGGCCGUCGAUACUUCCGGGCUUGAGCACUGUAGAGGCAGAUGGAAUUCCGGGUGUAGCGGUGGAAUGCGUAGAGAUCCGGAAGAACACCGGUGGCGAAGGCGGUCUGCUGGGCAGUUGCUGACGCUGAUGCGCGA
rnacentral:rRNA from 1 species